GCCACUUGGGUACAGUGGCUUAUACCUGUAAUCCCUGCGACUCAGGAGGCAGAGGCAGGAGGAUUGCAAGUUCAAGGUCAGCCUCAACAACUUAGUGAGGCCCUAAGCUACUUAGUGAGACCUUGUCUCAA
rnacentral:sRNA from 1 species